GACGAACGCUGGCGGCGUGCUUAACACAUGCAAGUCGAACGGAAAGGCCCUGCUUUUGUGGGGUGCUCGAGUGGCGAACGGGUGAGUAACACGUGAGUAACCUGCCCUUGACUUUGGGAUAACUUCAGGAAACUGGGGCUAAUACCGGAUAGGAGCUCCUGCUGCAUGGUGGGGGUUGGAAAGUUUCGGCGGUUGGGGAUGGACUCGCGGCUUAUCAGCUUGUUGGUGGGGUAGUGACUUACCAAGGCUUUGACGGGUAGCCGGCCUGAGAGGGUGACCGGCCACAUUGGGACUGAGAUACGGCCCAGACUCCUACGGGAGGCAGCAGUGGGGAAUAUUGCACAAUGGGCGGAAGCCUGAUGCAGCAACGCCGCGUGCGGGAUGACGGCCUUCGGGUUGUAAACCGCUUUCGCCUGUGACGAAGCGUGAGUGACGGUAAUGGGUAAAGAAGCACCGGCUAACUUCGUG
rnacentral:rRNA from 1 species